UCCACAAGGGUUGGGCCACCGGCUUCAGGUGUUACCGACUUUCAUGACUUGACGGGCGGUGUGUACAAGACCCGGGAACGUAUUCACCGCAGCGUUGCUGAUCUGCGAUUACUAGCGACUCCGACUUCAUGAGGUCGAGUUGCAGACCUCAAUCCGAACUGGGACCGGCUUUUUGGGAUUCGCUCCACCUCACGGUAUUGCAGCCCUUUGUACCGGCCAUUGUAGCAUGCGUGAAGCCCAAGACAUAAGGGGCAUGAUGAUUUGACGUCAUCCCCACCUUCCUCCGAGUUGACCCCGGCAGUAUCCCAUGAGUUCCCACCAUUACGUGCUGGCAACAUAGAACGAGGGUUGCGCUCGUUGCGGGACUUAACCCAACAUCUCACGACACGAGCUGACGACAACCAUGCACCACCUGUUCACCAGUGUCCAAAGAGUCCCGUAUUUCUACGGUGUUCUGGUGUAUGUCAAGCCUUGGUAAGGUUCUUCGCGUUSMWYSRAAUUAAUCCGCAUGCUCCGCCGCUUGUGCGGGUCCCCGUCAAUUCCUUUGAGUUUUAGCCUUGCGGCCGUACUCCCCAGGCGGGGAACUUAAUGCGUUAGCUGCGUCACGGAAACCGUGGAAUGGUCCCCACAACUAGUUCCCAACGUUUACGGGGUGGACUACCAGGGUAUCUAAGCCUGUUUGCUCCCCACCCUUUCGCUCCUCAGCGUCAGUUACGGCCCAGAGAUCUGCCUUCGCCAUCGGUGUUCCUCCUGAUAUCUGCGCAUUCCACCGCUACACCAGGAAUUCCAAUCUCCCCUACCGCACUCUAGUCUGCCCGUACCCACUGCAGGCCCGAGGUUGAGCCUCGGGAUUUCACAGCAGACGCGACAAACCGCCUACGAGCUCUUUACGCCCAAUAAUUCCGGAUAACGCUUGCGCCCUACGUAUUACCGCGGCUGCUGGCACGUAGUUAGCCGGCGCUUUUUCUGCAGGUACCGUCACUCUCGCUUCUUCCCUGCUAAAAGAGGUUUACAACCCGAAGGCCGUCAUCCCUCACGCGGCGUUGCUGCAUCAGGCUUCCGCCCAUUGUGCAAUAUUCCCCACUGCUGCCUCCCGUAGGAGUCUGGGCCGUGUCUCAGUCCCAGUGUGGCCGGUCACCCUCUCAGGCCGGCUACCCGUCGACGCCUUGGUGAGCCAUUACCUCACCAACAAGCUGAUAGGCCGCGAGCCCAUCCCAGACCGAAAAAUCUUUCCAACCCCCACCAUGCGAUGAGAGCUCAUAUCCAGUAUUAGACGCCGUUUCCAGCGCUUAUCCCAGAGUCCAGGGCAGGUUGCUCACGUGUUACUCACCCGUUCGCCACUGAUCCACCAAGCAAGCUUGGC
rnacentral:rRNA from 1 species